rnacentral:rRNA from 1 species
UACGUAGGGGGCAAGCGUUGUCCGGAUUUAUUGGGCGUAAAGAGCGUGUAGGCGGCUUUACAGGUCCGUUGUGAAAACUCGAGGCUCAACCUCGAGACGCCGGUGGAAACCGUAAGGCUAGAGUCCGGAAGAGGAGAGUGGAAUUCCUGGUGUAGCGGUGAAAUGCGCAGUUAUCGGGAGGAACACCUAUGGCGAAGGCAGCUCGCUGGGACGUUACUGACGCUGAGACGCGAAAGCGUGGGGAGCAAACAGG